rnacentral:rRNA from 1 species
AUUGAACGCUGGCGGCAGGCCUAACACAUGCAAGUCGAGCGGAGCGGCGGACGGGUGCGUAAUGCCUAUGCAUCUGCCUGGUAGUGGGGGAUAACGUUCGGUAACGGGCGCUAAUACUGCUUACUAUCAGAUGAGCCUAGGCCGGAUUAGCUAUUUGGUGGGGUAAAGGCCUACCAAGGCGACGAUCCGUAACUGGUCUGAGAGGAUGAUCAGUCACACUGGGACGGAGACACGGUCCAGACUCCUACGGGAUGCAGCAGUGGGGAAUAUUGGCCAAUGGGCGAAAGCCUGAUCCAGCCAUGCCGCGUGUGUGAAGAAGGUCUUCGGAUUGUAAAGCACUUUAAGUUGGGAGGCGUUACCAACAGAAUAAGCACCGGCUAACUUCGUGCCAGCAGCCGCGGUAAUUUC